AGUCGAACGCGAAAGUUCCCUUCGGGGAGCGAGUAGAGUGGCGCACGGGUGAGUAACACGUAGGUAAUCUACCUUUGGAUUGGGAAUAACAACCGGAAACGGUUGCUAAUACCGAAUAAUGCAGCGGCACCUAAUGGUGACAGUUGUUAAAGCGGGGGAUCGCAAGACCUCGCGUCUAAAGAGGAGCCUGCGGCGGAUUAGCUAGUUGGUAAGGUAAUGGCUUACCAAGGCGAUGAUCCGUAGCCGGCCUGAGAGGGCGGUCGGCCACACUGACACUGACAUACGGGUCAGACUCCUACGGGAGGCAGCAGUCGGGAAUUUUGGGCAAUGGGCGAAAGCCUGACCCAGCAACGCCGCGUGAAGGAUGAAAUCCCUCGGGAUGUAAACUUCGCAAGAACGGGAAGAAUAAGUGAGGGUUAAUAUCCCUUACGAUGACGGUACUGUUUGUAAGCUCCGGCUAACUCCGUGCCAGCAGCCGCGGUAAUACGGGGGGAGCAAGCGUUGUUCGGAUUUACUGGGCGUAAAGGGCGCGUAGGCGGCCACUGCAAGUCAGUUGUGAAAUCUCCGGGCUUAACCCGGAAAGGUCAACUGAUACUGCAGGGCUAGAGUGCAGAAGGGGCAACUGGAAUUCUCGGUGUAGCGGUGAAAUGCGUAGAUAUCGAGAGGAACACCUGCGGCGAAGGCGGGUUGCUGGGCUGACACUGACGCUGAGGCGCGAAAGCCAGGGGAGCGAACGGGAUUAGAUACCCCGGUAGUCCUGGCCUUAAACGAUGAAUGCUUGGUGUCUGGGGUUUUAUAGUCCCCGGGUGCCGUCGCUAACGCUUUAA
rnacentral:rRNA from 1 species